rnacentral:rRNA from 1 species
UACGAAGGGGGCUAGCGUUGCUCGGAAUCACUGGGCGUAAAGGGUGCGUAGGCGGGUCUUUAAGUCAGGGGUGAAAUCCCGAGGCUCAACCUCGGAACUGCCUUCGAUACUGCGGGUCUCGAGUCCGGGAGAGGUGAGUGGAAUUCCUAGUGUAGAGGUGAAAUUCGUAGAUAUUAGGAAGAACACCAGUGGCGAAGGCGGCUCACUGGCCCGGUACUGACGCUGAGGCGCGAAAGCGUGGGGAGCAAACAGG